CUGUAGAAACAAAGAAAAAGCUACUAAAAAAUAUUAUUUUUUAAUAAUUUAUAAAUUUUAACAAUGAAAAUCCUGUAGAAUAUAGUUAUUGUUUAGUCUUCUAAAUAAAAAUAAAAACCAGUGUGAGAUUAAGUGAUGAAGAUGACAAAGUACUGUAAAAGUGCAUGCAUGAUUGGAAACUUUCUUUUUACAAGAGCCUUUGGAAAGAAUGCACUAAAAAGUGUUGUUGAUGUUUUAAGAAAAGUUUUAAUUACACAAACUUUUAUUUAUCUUAAAAAAACAAAAAAGUAACAACAAUAGAAUGAAAAGAAAAGAAAAAAUGAACAACCAUGCAUGCACCCAUCUUAAGAAAUUAUGUUUAAACAUUACAAAAGUCUACUACUAUGAAGUGCAAAUUAGAAGUUGACUGAGGAGGGACAUUACAAUUCUGAAAUGCGUAUUCACUGAAAUUUAAUAAAUAAUGAUAAACUGCCUAGUGUCUGAUUGAUCGCACUUCAUUGUGCUAAAGAAAUAAAGAAAAAGAAAAGACACGGUUUCAAAUUUACUAA